rnacentral:lncRNA from 1 species
AUGCAGCCAAGUAAAAUUACCGUGAAUUUGGAAGUGAAGCAAGUGAUUGGGACUCUGUGUAAACUGCUCUCGGCCGUGGGAUUGUACCAUGUACCCGCACCAGAGGCAUUUAGACGGGCAAAAUUUGGUUUUGGAGUCGAAAUGGAAUCUCAGUUUUGGCGGCUGAUAGCCGACAUUCUUCACAGUUCUGGCACUGUACACUCUCAAAUAGUUGCACAGCCCAAAGAAGAGUACAAGAAGCUGGUGGCUGCUGGCCUUUGGCAGACUGGUUAUUAUGCAGACUGGAUAUAUGAGAUGGAGGAAGAAGGACAAGAUGAAAAAAGUUUCUCCAGCCAAGAUCUCCUCUUGGCAGUAGGCUGGCUGCUCUCUAUUGGAACAAUAGAAAAGCUGCUGAUGCAAAGAGUACAACAACUAGACAAAACAUUACUCAGAUCUAUACCUGUCAGCUCUCAGGUUUCUCAAGAGCUGUGGCUUGAUUUGGUCUUGCUACGCAGACUUCAGUGGCUUGUUGGCAAUCUGAGACAUGAGGGACGAAUCCUGCUGUGCAUGUUAGAAGAAAAAAAUAGGUUGCUUCAUGCUUUUUUUUCUGCCAGCGUCUCCUCCAAAGUGCCAUACCUGUCUGACCAAAACUCCACAGCCCUAAAGAAUGACUAUGUUUGUACAGAGCAGCUCUGUGACCUCCUGGAAGCAUAUGUUAAUUGGAAACAGGUGGAGAAAGUCUUCUGGAGUUGGAUGGACAGUGUCAUUGGCUGCCAUUUGUCAGAACCUAAGAGAUGUACAAGUGUACCUGAUAUGGUUUCCAGUAGAAAUCAGGGCCUAGAGGAACUGGAGAACAUGCUAAUAAAACUGCCCAUUGCACAGAAAGGACAGAGGAGAGGCAGAGGUGAUUCUGAGGAAAGAGGAAGGACGAAUUUGCAGGAAGAGCCAGACUUCAGGCUGAGAAGCCAGUCAGACUCAACCGCUACCCAUCAGAGGAACUCCACAACUGGGCCAAGACUACAGAGGAUUUCCAACCUUCUAAGACUGCAUGGGUACUUCUUGAGACAGAGGCUCAGCUGCUGCAAAGGAGGGACCAGCAGAGACAGGCCAACAGGAUGAUGCUACAACAUACUAUUAGCCUCUUUGAUGCUCAAAAUUCACAAUAAUAAGUAACCU